rnacentral:rRNA from 1 species
CGCGUAGGCGGCCACCGCAAGUCAGUUGUGAAAGCUCUGGGCUUAACCCAGAAAGGUCAACUGAUACUGCGGGGCUAGAGUGCAGAAGGGGCAACUGGAAUUCUCGGUGUAGCGGUGAAAUGCGUAGAUAUCGAGAGGAACACCUGCGGCGAAGGCGGGUUGCUGGGCUGACACUGACGCUGAUGUGCGAAAGCUAGGGGAGCGAACG